rnacentral:rRNA from 1 species
AUGGUGUCGUUGCAGUCGGCGCUGCUGCCGGAGGCCGGCAAGCGGCCCCCGUGCCUCUCCUUGGCCGACGCCAGCGUCGUCGCGUCCACCGCCACCAGCAAGAAGCGGAAGCGGGACGGCGAGGUGGAGGAGGAGGAGGGGGAGGAGCACGACGGGAUCGAGCUCAAUUUCGACGCCGCGCCGCUCCCGCUCGAGUGGCAGCGCUGCCUCGACAUCAAGUCGGGGCAGAUCCACUACUACAACACCAGGACGCACAAGAGGACGUCCAAGGACCCGAGGCGGCACGGCGGCGCGGCGCCCGCGGUGGAGGAGGACGUCGCGAAUUGCGGGCCGCAAGGGCUGGACCUGGACCUGAACCUGGCGUUCGAGCCGCGGCGCAGUUCGCCCGUCAAGGAGCUGCAGAAGAAGGCCGAGGCGAAGCCAGCACCGGCGAGAGGCGAUCAUCACGGGGAUCAGACGCCGGGCAGCGGCAUGGAGAUGGUGGCGGCCGUGUGCAUGCGGUGCCACAUGCUGGUGAUGAUGUGCCGCGCGUGCCCGGCCUGCCCCAACUGCAAGUUCCUGCACCCGACGAGCCGGCCCACGCCGGAGCCGGCGCCGCUCAAGCUCGGGCUCCAGCUGCUCUGCUGCAGGGACUAA